rnacentral:rRNA from 1 species
AGGUUUCGGCCAAGGGAAGGGGAGGCUUAGUGGCGGACUGGUGAGUAACGCGUGAGGAACCUGCCUUCCAGAGGGGGACAACAGUUGGAAACGACUGCUAAUACCGCAUGAUAUAUUCGAGGGGCAUCCCUUGGAUAUCAAAGAUUCAUCGCUGGAAGAUGGCCUCGCGUCUGAUUAGCUAGUUGGUGAGGUAACGGCCCACCAAGGCGACGAUCAGUAGCCGGACUGAGAGGUCGGCCGGCCACAUUGGGACUGAGAUACGGCCCAGACUCC